rnacentral:rRNA from 1 species
UUUGUCCUACGGGGGGCAGCAGUGGGGAAUAUUGCACAAUGGGCGCAAGCCUGAUGCAGCAACGCCGCGUGAGCGAAGAAGGUCUUCGGAUCGUAAAGUUCUGUUGAAGGGGAAAAAGAGCGGAGAGAGGAAAUGGUCUCCGAUUGAUAUUACCCUUCGAGGAAGUCACGGCUAACUACGUGCCAGCAGCCGCGGUAAUACGUAGGUGGCGAGCGUUAUCCGGAAUGAUUGGGCGUAAAGGGUGCGUAGGCGGCCUGCUAAGUCUGGAGUGAAAGGUACCGGCUCAACCGGUACAGGCUCUGGAA